AAACGAAACAAAUAAGCAAACAAACAAAAGCCCCUUUGCAGUGGCAAUACCACUGCACAGCCGUGCCCCAACAAGGAUGAUAUUCUGGGAUAAAUCGGCAAAAGCCUUGGUUGUUGCCGUAGUAAUCCUAAAGCUCAACAGAAGAAAUUUCUUGAAGUGGACGGAUAAAAUUCUUAGAAUCAUCCCGCCCAAGCCCUCUAGAAUUCCUUUAUGAUGCGUUUAUCUAUUUCGGUCUUUCACAUAGGAAGAUUCCAGAGUAUCGCCCCAAUGAAUGCGCAGUGCUGUCGGCAAGGAGCACGCCGCUGCAAAAGGGAUUAGACUUGAAAACGCCUUCUGAAGGGGUUUGGGAGAGAAAGUCCCACUGAUGCUACCUGAAGUUGGGGGGAAACGUCGUCAGCCAGUUUUCAGUGUGAUGCAGAUACGAUAGCUUUUCUCCCUCUGUUGGAAAGGUCGGGGAAAGUGAAAUGACCCAGCGGGCCAGGUCAGCAUCGACCUGGCUAAAAACUUGGCCGGUGGACGUGAACUGAAGUGCCAGGAGGGCUUACGUGCAAGCCUCCUCAGCCCCAGGCUUGAGACCAGCCUCUAUUACUCAGAAGAAUUUGUGCAACUCCGUGCUUCUCUAUCUUCAAGCAUCAGCAUGUUCGACUCUUGGUUUCAAUCCAGAACCUGCCCUGUUUUUAUAGAACAAAACUCCAGCUUCGAUCUGAAAAUGAAGAUCCCAGUUUAUUUUAAGAGACAGAGCAGACGAGGGGCGGAGAGAGAGAGAGGGAGAGAGAGAAUCC